rnacentral:lncRNA from 1 species
CAGCAACCAUGUCCAGCUCCUGCCUGAAGGAGCUGUCCUUUGUAGUCACUGAAGUUGCCUGCCUCAGCCCUCUGCUGGGCCACCAGGAGCCCAGGCCUGGACGUUAGUAUGAACUCCUGAUGGUGCAGUCUCGGGGACAUCAGCCAAUACCGUCAACAUCAGCCCCCACCACUGAUGACCUUUUGGCCCUCCAAGUGACGUU